rnacentral:rRNA from 1 species
GAUGGCGAGUGGCGAACGGGUGAGUAAUACAUCGGAACGUGCCCUGUAGUGGGGGAUAACUAGUCGAAAGAUUAGCUAAUACCGCAUACGACCUGAGGGUGAAAGUGGGGGACCGCAAGGCCUCAUGCUAUAGGAGCGGCCGAUGUCUGAUUAGCUAGUUGGUGGGGUAAAGGCCUACCAAGGCGACGAUCAGUAGCUGGUCUGAGAGGACGAUCAGCCACACUGGGACUGAGACACGGCCCAGACUCCUACGGGAGGCAGCAGUGGGGAAUUUUGGACAAUGGGGGCAACCCUGAUCCAGCAAUGCCGCGUGUGUGAAGAAGGCCUUCGGGUUGUAAAGCACUUUUGUCCGGAAAGAAAUCGCACUUAAUAAUACUAGGUGUGGAUGACGGUACCGGAAGAAUAAGGACCGGCUAACUACGUGCCAGCAGCCGCGGUAAUACGUAGGGUCCAAGCGUUAAUCGGAAUUACUGGGCGUAAAGCGUGCGCAGGCGGUUGUGCAAGACCGAUGUGAAAUCCCCGGGCUUAACCUGGGAAUUGCAUUGGUGACUGCACGGCUAGAGUGUGUCAUAGGGGGGUAGAAUUCCACGUGUAGCAUUGAAAUGCGUAGAGAUGUGGAGGAAUACCGAUGGCGAAGGCAGCCCCCUGGGAUAACACUGACGCUCAUGCACGAAAGCGUGGGGAGCAAACAGGAUUAGAUACCCGGGUAGUCCACGCCCUAAACGAUGUCAACUAGUUUUUUGGGGAUUCAUUUCCCUUAGUAACGUAACUUAACGCCUGAAAUUUAACCGCCCGGGGG